rnacentral:rRNA from 1 species
AGCAGCCGCCACGGGAAUACAGAGGGUGCGAGCGUUAAUCGGAAUUACUGGGCGUAAAGCGCGCGUAGACGGUUUGGUAAGUCAGAUGUGAAAUCCCUGGGCUCAACCUGGGAACUGCAUUUGAUACUGCCUGGCUAGAGUAUCGAAGAGGGAAGUGGAAUUUCCGGUGUAGCGGUGAAAUGCGUAGAUAUCGGAAGGAACACCAGUGGCGAAAGCGACUUCCUGGUCGAAUACUGACGUUCAUAUGCGAAAGCGUGGGGAGCAAACAGGAUUAGAUACCCCAGUAGUCCCUGUCUCUUAUAC